rnacentral:lncRNA from 1 species
GUUGUAGGUUUCAGAUUGGUGCUUCUUCCCCUGGUCACACAGGACCAGUGGAAGCGAUUGGUGCUAAAGUGGCCCUAUUAUGACCCGACCCCCCGCCCCCGCACACACACAGGCUGUGUCAGCCUUAAGAACGUUGUCUCCAGGAGUUAGGCUCUGCCUGGCUUUUUUCUGUACUCACAAUGAGCCUGUCCACCUGCACAACUCUGCACUUGCUCACCAGCUCUGUGGCUGAAAUCGCCGCUGGAACCUAUUCAUCUCCUAUUUCUGCCCAGUUUCAGGUGUCAGCUCUGGGCUGCAGGGGAUUGAUGUUCCAGAAAAGAUCACAGACAGAAAUGCUUCCUGCUCUGUCCCACCUCCGCAUGCACAGCUGGCCCAGGAGGGGAUCCAGCUGUCUGCAUAUCAGGAUUCAGACACCAGGGGAGCUUUCUGCAGGAGGCUGCCUUUGGGUCCCCCUUGCAGCCAGCAGUCCUGUUCACA